UGGCGGACGGGUGAGUAACGCGUGGGUAACCUGCCUCAUACAGGGGGAUAACAGUUAGAAAUGACUGCUAAUACCGCAUAAGCGCACGAGAUCGCAUGAUAAAGUGUGAAAAACUCCGGUGGUAUGAGAUGGACCCGCGUCUGAUUAGCUGGUUGGUGGGGUAACGGCCCACCAAGGCGACGAUCGGUAGCCGACCUGAGAGGGUGACCGGCCACAUUGGGACUGAGACACGGCCCAAACUCCUACGGAAGGCAGCAG
rnacentral:rRNA from 1 species